rnacentral:rRNA from 1 species
AUUGAACGCUGGCGGCAUGCCUUACACAUGCAAGUCGAACGGCAGCAUAGGAGCUUGCUCCUGAUGGCGAGUGGCGAACGGGUGAGUAAUAUAUCGGAACGUGCCCUAGAGUGGGGGAUAACUAGUCGAAAGACUAGCUAAUACCGCAUACGAUCUACGGAUGAAAGUGGGGGAUCGCAAGACCUCAUGCUCCUGGAGCGGCCGAUAUCUGAUUAGCUAGUUGGUGGGGUAAAAGCCUACCAAGGCAACGAUCAGUAGCUGGUCUGAGAGGACGACCAGCCACACUGGGACUGAGACACGGCCCAGACUCCUACGGGAGGCAGCAGUGGGGAAUUUUGGACAAUGGGGGCAACCCUGAUCCAGCAAUGCCGCGUGAGUGAAGAAGGCCUUCGGGUUGUAAAGCUCUUUUGUCAGGGAAGAAACGGUGGUAGCGAAUAACUACUACUAAUGACGGUACCUGAAGAAUAAGCACCGGCUAACUACGUGCCAGCGGCCGCGGUAAUACGUAGGGUGCAAGCGUUAAU